GGGGUUGUGGCUCAGUGGUGGAGCACUCGCUUACCACGUGUGAGGCCCUGGGUUCGAUCCUCAGCACCA
rfam:Ictidomys tridecemlineatus contig031001, whole genome shotgun sequence.